GACGAACGCUGGCGGCGUGCUUAACACAUGCAAGUCGAACGGAAAGACCAUGCUUUUGCGGGGUGCUCGAGUGGCGAACGCGUGAGUAACACGUGAGUAACCUGCCCUUGUCUUUGUGGUAACUUCAGGAAACUGGGGCUAAUACCGGAUAGGAGCUCCUGCUGCAUGGUGGGGGUUGGAGAGUUUCGGCGGUUGUGGAUGGACUGGCGGCUUAUCAGCUUGUUGGUGGGGUAGGGGCUUACCAAGGCUUUGAAGGGUAGCCCGCCUGAGAGGGUGACCGGCGACAUUGGGACUAAGAGAGGGCCCAGACGCGUACGGGAGGCAGCAGGGGGGAAUAUGGCAGAAUGGGCGGAAGCCUGAGGCAGCAACGCCGCGUGCGGGAUGACGGCCUUCGGGGUGUAAACAGCUGUCGCCGGUGAUGAAGCGGGAGUGACGGUAACGGGUAAAGAAGCACCGGCUAACUACGUG
rnacentral:rRNA from 1 species